AAACUCAACAGCCUAAAUAUCUCUGAAAACUGCAUCGCAAAAUGGAAGAAAGAGGGGGUCCCACUACUGUUUCAAAAGAGAGCCAUGGAAGUCAAAUGCUGAGGAUGGUGGCAUCAUAGGAUGAAUGGAGCUGGGUUCUUGAAACACUGCCUGGAGGAAAGACAGCAAAAAUGCCUCAUGAAUCCAACUGGACUGUUAGGAUGCUCACCCUUGGAGACCAGCAACAAUGUGUGCAGAAACCCAGGCCAUGUGGAGAGGCCCCACAUACGUGUCCAACUGAGGUCCCAGCUGACAGCUGGCAUUGACAUGUGAGUGAGACUCUGAACGUUCCAGCUGAUGACAAGUACAGUUUGAGCGAGCUAUCCCUGUUGGGCCUGUCAAAACUGCAGAUUUCAUGAAGAAAAUAAGUGUUGUUGACUUAAGCCAGUAAGUUUUGACAUACUAUGUUACACA
rnacentral:lncRNA from 1 species